rnacentral:rRNA from 1 species
UACGUAGGGUGCGAGCGUUAAUCGGAAUUACUGGGCGUAAAGGGCUCGUAGGUGGCCAACUAAGUCAGACGUGAAAUCCCUCGGCUUAACCGGGGAACUGCGUCUGAUACUGGAUGGCUAGAGAUUGGGAGAGGGAUGCGGAAUUCCAGGUGUAGCGGUGAAAUGCGUAGAUAUCUGGAGGAACACCGGUGGCGAAGGCGGCAUCCUGGACCAACACUGACGCUGAGGAGCGAAAGCCAGGGGAGCAAACGGG